rnacentral:lncRNA from 1 species
AAAGCAGGUGCGAAGAGUUACUCUCAACUUCUCAAGUCGACGUUGUACUGUGAUGACACGCGUACAUGCCUUGAUUGAUUCUUAAGGUUUAAACGAAGAGAAACUGGAAGUAGGAAAAGUGUACUCUGAUAUGAGAACAAAAGUUUAGGAACGAAGUGUGCCCUAGGCCUUAGAUUUAACAAUAAAUUUGCUGGUGAUGAACUGAUGACCGUUCAUCGUGGUUUAGUUGUGGAUGGUGUUGGGUCUGAUGAGUGUGUUGUAUCUUGUUGUGGAUUGCCAAACCAUGUGUGAGUGUGAUGUAAGCGAUUAUUGUUGUACUGAAAUUGAGCAAUGACAAGUAUAAUUGAGUUGUUGGAUGGAUCUUAAUUUCGAUGUUUUCUUUUGUGUGUGUGUGUGUGUGUGGACUCUAGAGACUUAAUUCUACUGGGUUGUGUUGUGUACAUACAAAAACUUUGAAGAGUGGCCUUGUACAGUGUUUUUUCUUUGCGUGGAAAAUGGGAAUUCUAUCAUGAUAAUAUGAUUACAAUCUGGUAGUGGCAGCAGGUCCUUCAUACACGGAGGGCCCCUAUGCAACCAUGCAGCUACUCUGUACGACUGUAAUUAGCCAAUUGAUCUGCUAUCCUAUUUUGACCUCUUCUAAACAAGAUGCUAAACCACACACAGAACGGCAUGCAAAGGCUUCGGAACAGUAGAAGAUGGCACAGACAACGCCUCCACCAUGCAUGUCUGAAUUUAGUCCUCCCAGGAUUGUAGCAUGCCUAUCUCCUUCAGACGCGUCGCUAUAUAGUUUCAGCGUUGCUCCCUUGGGCGCCAUGGUUUUUAUCUAGACCAGAAGAAACCUGCAUGGAAAAUAGGUUGAGUAUCUCUGAUCACAUAAAGAUAUUGUUACAAUCACAACUAGCAUCUUUUUCAGGAUUGACCGCAUCGCCAUGAAUCGCAUGGAUCCGUUCAAGCAGAUUUUUAUUUUCAUAAGCAAAAGUAGGCGGAACAAAAGCCAGCGAGUAGUUUUUCCGAUAAAUUUUGUAUCCAACCCACGCAAUCCCUGCAAAUUUCUGAAACGGCAAACUUAUACUAGUAGAUUGGCAUCGAAUUUUCUGCAAAGACGACAUCAAAACAGAGUUUCUGAAAUGUUCUCAAGAGAAAGAAGGAGUGCAUGCAUGGAUGGAGAACUCAGUCCACAUCACGAUUUCUGAUCAUCAAGGCAUAGUGAGCCAUGUUAGGUUCGGCGAGCGAGCCUUCGUUUGUUUCCAUCAUCGCCCUCCAAACCAAACCAAACCAAAAUUCAUGUAACAACAACACCGCCACCAACAGGAACUUAACACCAGCAAAUUGGCAACUCAAAAGGACGAUGCAUAUGUAGAGGGAUAUCGAUCAGUGCUCCUGCCCGCGGUCAGAUAAAACACAGAAGAGAAGCAUCGAAGGAAAAGAAGAAGAAGAAGAAGAAGAAGAAGAAGAAGAAGAAGAAGAAGAAGAAGAAGAAGAAACUUGGGCGAAAAAUGAUGGUGAAGAAGAAGAAGCGGUACUGGGGAGGCUAUUAGUUGGGUAGUGAGGCUUCGUGGAGAGAGUGUUGUUGCUCUGCUGCUCCUGCUCAGAGCUAGUCUGUGAUUAAGCUGCGAGUGCACGAGGAGAGGCGCAAAUGGAGGUUUUUAUAGGAGAGCCGGCGGCAAAGAGCCAACGAUCAGCGUUCUUGGCGCCCAAGGCGUCG